rnacentral:rRNA from 1 species
AUGAUCUCCAGCUUGCUGGGGGGAUUAGUGGCGAACGGGUGAGUAACACGUGAGUAACCUGCCCUUGACUCUGGGAUAAGCCUGGGAAACUGGGUCUAAUACUGGAUACGACUCUUCACCGCAUGGUGGGGGGUGGAAAGCUUUUGUGGUUUUGGAUGGACUCGCGGCCUAUCAGCUUGUUGGUGGGGUAAUGGCCUACCAAGGCGACGACGGGUAGCCGGCCUGAGAGGGUGGACGGCCACACUGGGACUGAGACACGGCCCAGACUCCUACGGGAGGCAGCAGUGGGGAAUAUUGCACAAUGGGCGCAAGCCUGAUGCAGCGACGCCGCGUGAGGGAUGAAGGCCUUCGGGUUGUAAACCUCUUUCAGUAGGGAAGAAGCGAAAGUGACGGUACCUGCAGAAGAAGCGCCGGCUAACUACGUGCCAGCAGCCGCGGUAAUACGUAGGGCGCAAGCGUUAUCCGGAAUUAUUGGGCGUAAAGAGCUCGUAGGCGGUUUGUCGCGUCUGCCGUGAAAGUCCGGGGCUUAACUCCGGAUCUGCGGUGGGUACGGGCAGACUUGAGUGAUGUAGGGGAGACUGGAAUUCCUGGUGUAGCGGUGAAAUGCGCAGAUAUCAGGAGGAACACCGAUGGCGAAGGCAGGUCUCUGGGCAUUAACUGACGCUGAGGAGCGAAAGCAUGGGGAGCGAACAGGAUUAGAUACCCUGGUAGUCCAUGCCGUAAACGUUGGGCACUAGGUGUGGGGGACAUUCCACGUUUUCCGCGCCGUAGCUAACGCAUUAAGUGCCCCGCCUGGGGAGUACGGCCGCAAGGCUAAAACUCAAAGGAAUUGACGGGGGCCCGCACAAGCGGCGGAGCAUGCGGAUUAAUUCGAUGCAACGCGAAGAACCUUACCAAGGCUUGACAUGAACCGGAACGGCGCAGAAGAUGU